GCGGCCGCCCCCCGCGCCGCCCAGGCCGUGACCGGGCGGGGGGCGGCUGCGCUAGCGCCCGCAGCCCAGGGGCUCGCGGACCCGGGAGCGACAACCAUGGACUGCAGCCUAUUGAGGACGCUCGUGCGCAGAUACUGUGCAGGGGAAGAGAACUGGGUGGACAGUCGGACCAUCUACGUGGGACACAAGGAGCCCCCUCCAGGUGCAGAGGCCUACAUUCCACAGAGAUACCCGGACAAUAGAAUCGUCUCCUCCAAGUACACCUUCUGGAACUUCAUACCCAAGAACUUAUUUGAACAGUUCAGAAGAAUAGCCAACUUUUAUUUUCUCAUCAUCUUCCUGGUACAGGCUUAGCCCAGCUCUGUCCCUCCAGAUCCUUCUGCGUGCAUGAACCUUCCUGUGCCCACUUCCCAGCCAUACAAGGAGACAGGGCAAGAUCUCCAGCCAUACCUGGCAUCUCCACUUCCUACUUUCUGGUACUCAGAGAAAAUGCAAAGCAGUUGUACAUCCAGAGAGGCAAGGAUACGGCAAGGAUGUGGGCAGAUGCUGCCAGUUCAGUACACGUCCUAAAUAGCAGUAUAAUAUUUUUCUAAAUUAUUCUAAGUAUGACUAUAAAGGACCUCAAACUUCC
rnacentral:lncRNA from 1 species